GAAGAAGAAGAAUAACUGUGGAGUUUGAAGCGGAAAGGACUAAGGAGUGUGGCGAAGUGUUGUUAUAAAUACAAUGCUGUCUAGGGUUGGGUGCUCAUAGUGCAGGGAAUAAUCUCCAGCACAUCUCGCCCAGUGAAUUUAUGACCCGU